rnacentral:tRNA from 1 species
GGGGCGCUAGCUCAUCUGGCAGAGCAACAGCCUUUUAAGCUGUGGGUACUGGGUUCGAGACCCAGGCGCCCCA